GACGAACGCUGGCGGCGUGCUUAACACAUGCAAGUCGAGCGGGGAUCUGGGGCUUCGGCUCCGGAUUCUAGCGGCGGACGGGUGAGUAACGCGUGAACAAUCUGUCCCGGACAGGGGGAUAACAGAUGGAAACAUCUGCUAAUACCGCAUAAGACCACGACCUGGCAUCGGGUUGAGGUAAAAGGAGCAAUCCGGUUUGGGGUGAGUUCGCGUCUGAUUAGCUAGUUGGUGAGGUAACGGCCCACCAAGGCGACGAUCAGUAGCCGAUCUGAGAGGAUGACCGGCCACAUUGGAACUGAGACACGGUCCAA
rnacentral:rRNA from 1 species